rnacentral:lncRNA from 1 species
UUAAUUUAGCUUAAUCAUACUUAAUUGAUAUAACUAAAUAAAAAACAAUUUAAUCAAUUUAACUAAACCUAAUUUACUAAAUUGGUUAAAAGAGUUUAACUAAAGAUAAUGAUCAUAUAUAAUUUAGCUUAAUCAUACUUAAUUGAUAUAACUAAAUAAAAAACAAUUUAAUCAAUUUAACUAAACCUAAUUUACUAAAUUGGUUAAAAGAGUUUAACUAAAGAUAAUGAUCAUAUGAAAAAAAAACAAAUAAGAACAUAUAGACAUCUCAAAUCUCAAAAUCUAAUCAAGUUUGAAUUUUUAAAUCUAAGUUCAAUCAACAACGGAUCCAAGACAAACAUUCUCGAAUCGAUGAUGGGAAAAA